UACGUAGGGUGCGAGCGUUAAUCGGAAUUACUGGGCGUAAAGCGUGCGCAGGCGGUUCGUUAAGUUCGUUGUGAAAGCCCCGGGCUCAACCUGGGAACUGCAAUGGAAACUGGCGGGCUUGAGUGCGGCAGAGGGGGGUGGAAUUCCGCGUGUAGCGGUGAAAUGCGUAGAGAUGCGGAGGAACACCGAUGGCGAAGGCAGCCCCCUGGGCCAAGACUGACGCUCAGGCACGAAAGCGUGGGGAGCAAACAGG
rnacentral:rRNA from 1 species